GCAGCUGCGCGUUCUCCACGUAGAGAUCCUUGACCAUGGCAUCUGCCUUGGUGUUCUUGGUGAGCUGGGGAGGGAAUGGACACAGGCACUCAGCAAAUGGCAAAGAACAACUCCCAGGGAGGCAGUCAUUUGAGGAGAUUGAAGUUUGAGAAAGCACCAACCCAAAACAAAACACCUUCAAACCCAAGCCCAUCCUACCUGUGGAGGAGGAUAAAUGAAAAUCUGCUUCAGCUCUUCUGGCCCUGUUACCAUCCCUAUCUCUGCUGGUCCAGGUAAACAGAAAAUAAGUUUAUAAAUACUUCAAAAUAAAACUGUUUGUACUUUUUAAAGCUGUUUAGGGGUUCUCUUUGUCUGUAAAGGAGCUGUUCUUUUCCUGACAAUAUAAACUGUGAAAAUAAUGAGCUUUUGGUGGGAUUUCUUUCAGGGUGCCUGUCAUGUUGUGAAGCACACGAGUAACUAAUGAGGAAACAGUCAAUUAGUGUUAACAGCAUCUUAAAAAUAAUUACUAAUGAAACAACAAUGAAAACAAUAAAGCCCUGCUGUAUUCAUAUAUGGAAAAAAAAUGGAACAACCACGAGCUUACUAAACUAUCAGGAUGAUGCCAGCAGGGGUCAGAAAUUAAUUAAUUUGAGGAAACAUUGGACAGUCUGGUGGAAAAGCAUGCAGGCACCAGAGACAACCCAAGUCUAAAAACCAGGAGUGUUUGGACAAGUGCUUUGCUACAGGAGCUGUCUCACAGCAGAGGCACAGAGCCCUGACAGCUCCUUCAGACACAGAUUUGUGAGAAGCCAAGAGCACAAAAUUCAGAGCAAAAGAAAGAAGAAGAAAGAAAAAAAUCUUAGCUGAGAGGUGGGUGUAAUUCUGUACCUUUCAAACCCAAGUUGCACUGAAAAUUAGAUCCUCUGUCAAUGACUGGUUUCAUUUUUACAGUUGAUAGGUGCAAAUUAAUGCAUUGUCCACAGAUUGGGGGGUUUUGUUGGCAAAAGGUUUCUUUUAGGGAAGAAUGGAGACUCAAGGGAGGGACUGAUCAUUCAUUGCCUGUCCAUGUUCAACACUUCAAAUACAGCUUAUCCCUUGAGCUUCUGAGAGAUGGAAACUGCUGCACUGAUUUGUGUGUUUGCCACCCAAACUCACCUUCCUGUUUGCAGAUGACAGCUCCUUCUGAAGCUGUUCACACUCUCUCUUCAAGCUCAGCUUCUCCUGCUCUAUGGCUUUGACAAUCCCUGCCUGGCUCUGAUGCUUUUGGUGCUUUAGGGAAAGGAUUGUGGAUUCCAGCUGUCGGAUCUGAGGAGAUCAGAGAUGAACAAAUGGGAAAAGAUGUUCCAGGUAAUGCCAUUUAAUCUAAAAUACCAGCUGAUUUUGGAAUCCCAGAAUCCCAGGAUGGCUUGGCUUGGAAAGGACCUUAAAUCCCAACCCAUCCCACCCCUGCCAUGGCAGGGACAUCUCCCACUAUGCCAGGCUGCUCCAAGUCCUGCCCAAGCUGGCCUUGGACAUUUCCAGGGAUCAAAGGGCAGCCACAGCUUCUCUGGGCAACUCUGGGCUAUUUUUGACAUCUUGGCCUUCUUUCCCUUUGCCCUCCCCAUAAUUCACUUAAUACUGCAAGCCAAGAAAUUCCACAAGAAGAAUGUUAGGAAGAUUAAAAAUAUUUUUGUUAACUUGAAUUUGGACUGAAAUCUUGGACAAGAAUUACCAAGAUUGUCUUUUAAAGAAAAGAAAUAUCCUGAGAGUGUUGUGGAGUCUCAUUCUCUGGAGAAAUU